UGACCUACGGGAGGCAGCAGUGAGGAAUAUUGGUCAAUGGACGGAAGUCUGAACCAGCCAUGCCGCGUGCAGGAAGACGGCUCUAUGAGUUGUAAACUGCUUUUGUACAAGGGUAAACCUGAAUACGUGUAUUCAGCUGAAAGUACUGUACGAAUAAGGACCGGCUAAUUCCGUGCCAGCAGCCGCGGUAAUACGGAAGGUCCGGGCGUUAUCCGGAUUUAUUGGGUUUAAAGGGAGCGUAGGCCGGUCUUUAAGCGUGCCGUGAAAUUUUGUGGCUCAACCAUGAGAGUGCGGCGCGAACUGGG
rnacentral:rRNA from 1 species